UGCAUUUUCUACUAAACAGAGAAAACGAUACAGACUCACGGAAAGUGUUCUCCCUCAAAAUUCUAAACAAAUACUUAAAUGCACAAGGGAAAAGAGGUGGACUCGCUGAAACGAUGCAGAUGGGAGUAAACAACAUAGUGGCUGAGUUUCCUAAACAACUCGGAGCGUUGAAGGGGGUCGACUUCUCCAUUGGACAUAGGCUGGACCUGCCACGGACCACUCCAAACUGCUGAGCAUCGCCUGAAGAAGCGGGCAUCUGCUCCGGACGCAUGGGCACCGCUGCACCACCACUGGCAGACACGCACACACACUUGCACGAUGGGAAAAGUAUUCCAAAGUCACAGCAAUGACCGUAGUACUGUAAAAUGAUAAACUGAUAAAAUGAUACUGUACAGCACUAAGCUCAGCUCUUCCUCCAGAUCUGU